rnacentral:tRNA from 1 species
GGGGUAGCGAAGUGGCUAAACGCGGCGGACUGUAAAUCCGCUCCCUCAGGGUACGCACCAGAUUGUGGCUCUGGCACUCGUGGGUUCGAUUCCCAUCAAUCGCCCCA